AGAGAAAUUCCGUCUCAAAAAAAAAAAACCAAACAAACACAAAAACUAACAACAACAAAAAACCCUACACUAUUUCUGAGGCCAGCUCAAAAGGUGUUAAUGAUUGCCUUCCCAGUUUCUUGCAGUCAAAAUGAAUUUCGCUCCCUUGGUAUAACGUGUGUGUGCAAAACGUGGUUGCAUGCAUUAUUUUUCAAGGAGAGAGCUGAGUAUGUUCAUAGGCUGAAAGGAAAGCUUCAGUAUAGAGAGAGUUUUCCAUGGAAAGUGAGACAGGGGCAUAGGUGGAUGAGGCCCCAAGGAAUGAGAGGAAAGAAGGUGGGCAGAGCUUUACCCCAGAGGCGAACAGAGGAUGGACGUGGAUCCAGAUAAGACGUCAGCUCGUUCCCUAAAGGUCGUGCUGAAGGAGUAAUGAGGGUGGCCAGUGCGCAGGGGUUUGAGAGGCCCCGUGGAUAUGGUGCUGUGGGGAAAGUAAUUGGCGAUGCUCAAUAGUUCAGGAGAAGAUACUAGGAUGAAUGGUUGCUGUGUGCCACGGUUCUAUAGGCUUUCACGUGUGUUAUCUUAUGUGAUCUUCCGGGGCGCCGGUGUCUCCGUCUUCUGGAUGACCAAUCGGAAGCUCACAGAGAAUAAGUAAUUGGCCCUAAACCACCCACCUAAGGCGUGGCAGAGGCGGGGCCCAAACGCGCGCUCCAGCCCUCGCGCAGGCGCCUUGGAACUCGCCCGCGUGUUGUGACCCAGAAUUCCUGGGGCUGUGGAAGAGACCAUAGGCUCAACAGGAGGGGGAGCCCUGGGUUGCGCGCCGGUCUGCAUCGCUACUUGGCGGAAAGUUCCCAUGAGUCUUUGCCAGCGUCCCCCUCCUUUUGUGACGAAUAGGAUAUCCCGACUCCUUAAGGGCCUGGAGCGCAUAAGUUGUGACCUUUUCAUUCCCGUUGUUAUGGAGGUAGGGUCUCCGCGAAUCUGGGGGUGGUAGCUGCGGGCAAAAGCAAAUAAAGAGCUCGAGCUUCUGUGGUCUCUGGGGAGAUGUUCCCGGGAAGCCUGGCUAGAGGGCAGAGGGCAGCUGUUGAGAUGGCGUGGCUCCCCGCCUCCUGCGCUCGCGUGGCCUUCGGCCCGGUGUUGGACAGCCUGGCAGGGCAGCGGGGGGCUGAAUCCGGCUGCCGUAGAUGAGGCUCAUGGAUCACCCUUUUGUGGUAGGGCCACAUCUGCCAGAGCCUGGAGUCUGCGAAGGCCGGGACCCGGUUCUCCGGCCCGCCGUGGGGAGUGUGCAAACCCGAGAGAGCUGGAUUGCCUGCCCACCGCAGAGUGCUGAAGACGGGGUAGCCAUGAGGUUGCAAAUUCGUGAAGAUAUCAGCAGCAUGUUUGGCAGCUGAGUAUUGGAGCAAGGAGCCUGCCACAAGGUUUUGAGAACAGAGUGCCGUUUUAGAGCUGGCGGCAGCAUCUUAGCCCAAAAGAAGGUUAUAUUCCCAGAGGAUGUCAAUCCCAAGGACCAGUAGCUGCCGUCAGUUUGGAUUAUGAAAACUUUAACCAGCAUCAACAUUGGGUGUAGAAACAUGAUUGCUUUGUGUAUCAGAGGACAUGCUCAGCAGAUCCAAGAGAUAUAUUUGGCAACUUUUUCUAGAAAAGGCACAUUGGGUAUCAUUCAUUACAUUCUUGAGUUUUUUUGGGUUUUUUUUUUUUUUUUUUUUUUUUUUUUUUUGAGACAGUCUUGCUGUGUUGCCCAGGCUGGAAUGUGGUGGCACAAUCACAGCUCAUUGCAGCCUCAAUCACCCAGGCCUAAGCAAUCCUCCUGCCUUGUAGCUGGGACUAUAGCUCACAGCACAUCUGGCUAAAAUUUUUUUUUUGUUGAGGUGGAUUCACUGUGUUACCCAGGCUGGUCUCAAGCUCCUGGGCUCAGAUGGUCCUGCCUCAGCUUCCAAAGGCAUAGGCCACAUUGUAGCUUUGUCCCUUGCCAUCCUGCCCAACGGGGUGCUGUACCUUUUAAUGAAUUAACUUUCAUAAAUUGGUUAUGUUGGUGGGCAAGUUCUUUAAGCUGGAAAUUGUAAAUUCUUCCUGAAAUGUUUUUUCAUGCAGUUACCAUGAACUAAAUACUACAAUAAAGGAUGGUCUUGGGUAUC